rnacentral:rRNA from 1 species
AGCGAACGCUGGCGGCAGGCUUAACACAUGCAAGUCGAACGCCCGGGCAACCGGGAGUGGCAGACGGGUGAGUAACACGUGGGAACGUACCCUUUGGUUCGGAAUAACUCAGGGAAACUUGAGCUAAUACCGGAUAAGCCCUUUUGGGGAAAGAUUUAUCGCCGAAGGAUCGGCCCGCGUCCGAUUAGCUAGUUGGUGAGGUAACGGCUCACCAAGGCGACGAUCGGUAGCUGGUCUGAGAGGAUGAUCAGCCACACUGGGACUGAGACACGGCCCAGACUCCUACGGGAGGCAGCAGUGGGGAAUAUUGGACAAUGGGGGCAACCCUGAUCCAGCCAUGCCGCGUGAGUGAUGAAGGCCCUAGGGUUGUAAAGCUCUUUUGGCGGGGACGAUAAUGACGGUACCCGCAGAAGAAGCCCCGGCUAACUUCGUGCCAGCCGCCGCGGUAA